GGUACCCCCCCCCCCCCCCCCACCCCCACCCCGUGCAGGUUAGUGGUGGAAUCUAGAUAAUUCCUGUGAAUUUAGGGAGAAAACAAUCACAAUCACGGGCGGAAAUCUCCCAUGUUUUGGGAGGUGGGCGAUAAUUCCCCCCAUGUUUUGUAACCCGGAUUUUAAAAUUGGGUGAAAAACAUUUUAAUUACAAAUUUCCGCGUGACGGGGUGGGGGACUGAUGGUCGAGGGCACCGAUUGGACGAGAGAGACGUCGGUCAGCAAGCAGUGGGGGUAGGACAUGAUGAUUCAGCGCGAUGAUUGAAGUAGGGAGGCGUCAGUCAGAGGCGAAGUAGGAGGGUGGGACUGAGGGAGACGUCCUUGUGGUGCAAAUAUCAUAGUGCGGAGUUUGAUCCGGCCCUUCCGCGGGGCCUUUCAUCGCCAGGCGCCGCUUAAAAUCGGCCGCGGGAUCUUCCAUCGCCGCACGGUGCGAUGAAAGGCCCCGCCAACGAGCCGAGUGAAGCCCACGAUUCGGGGCGGACGAAGCUGCUGUUGCUGGAGUUCGGAGUCGGUCAACAACCAGAACAUUUAUUCGUCAGGCAUUAAACAAGGGUCUGAAGAAGGGUCUCGACCCGAAGCGUCACAUGUUCCUCUUCUCCAGAGAAGCUGUCUGAUCCGCCGAGUUACAACCGUUUAUUUUUUAUCUAUCUUCGGUUUAAACCAGUAUCUGCAGUUCCUUCCUACACAUGAAAAAUAACGUGGCGGCGGGAGAAGUACCUACUAUUUCGGAAAUCCCAAGAAAGUGGACAGUAAUCUUUGCUCCGCAGCCGAACUGGUUGAAGGAAAAUUGCCGAAAACAUAUUGCUCAGGUAAACACGGGAGGUUGACAACAUAUUAAAAUGUAUCUCCGGUUAAA